CCUACGGGAGGCAGCAGUCGAGAAUCAUUCACAAUGGGGGAAACCCUGAUGGUGCGACGCCGCGUGGGGGAAUGAAGGUCUUCGGAUUGUAAACCCCUGUCCUGUGGGAGCAAAUUAAAAAGAUAGUACCACAAGAGGAAGAGACGGCUACCUCUGUGCCAGCAGCCGCGGUAAUACAGAGGUCUCAAGCGUUGUUCGGAGUCACUGGGCGUAAAGCGUGCGUAGGCUGUUUCGUAAGUCGUGUGUGAAAGGCACGGGCUCAACCCGCGGACGGCACAUGAUACUGCGAGACUAGAGUAAUGGGGGGGGAACCGGAAUGCUCGGUGGAGCAGGGAAAGGCGUAGAUAUCGAGAGGAACACUCGUGGCGAAGGCGGGUUCCUGGACAUUAACUGACGCUGAGGCACGAAGGCCAGGGGAGCGAAAGGGAUUAGAUACCCUUGUAGUC
rnacentral:rRNA from 1 species